UGAAGGGCUUUCACUGUUUUUCUGAAAUA
rnacentral:piRNA from 1 species